GCUGACUACUUUCCAAGAACACGGAAUACGAAUCCCACGAAAUACGUCACGUCAUAAAGCGAAGUUAAAAGAAAAGAAGGACAGUGGAAAAAAUUGUGUUGAGUGUAACUUCGCGAUUUCAUAAGAUUACACGAUGGUCACAUGGAGGGACUCCAAAAAAAGGCUUUUACUGGGAAUAGCUUUGAUGCUGCUUAUUUUAUUUCUGUUUGGAGAACCAGUUCACAAAACGAAGUUAGGUUUACGCGUCAUCACCGAGAAAGAAAUUCUGCCGGUAUUCAUCAUUAUUGUUUGCGAUG